rnacentral:rRNA from 1 species
CCUACGGGAGGCUGCAGUGAGGAAUAUUGGUCAAUGGCCGAGAGGCUGAACCAGCCAAGUCGCGUGAGGGAAGAAUGUCCUAUGGAUUGUAAACCUCUUUUGUCAGGGAGCAAAGUCACCCACGUGUGGGUGUUGGAGAGUACCUGCAGAAAAAGCAUCGGCUAACUCCGUGCCAGCAGCCGCGGUACUACGGAGGAUGCGAGCGUUAUCCGGAUUUAUUGGGGUUAAAGGGUGCGUAGGCGGGUUAUGAAGUCAGCGGUAAAAGCGUGGAGCUCAACUCCAUCCAGCCGUUGAAACUGAUUAUCUUGAGUGGGCGAGAAGUAUGCGGAAUGCGUGGUGUAGCGGUGAAAUGCAGAGAUAUCACGCAGAACUCCGAUUGCGAAGGCAGCAUACCGGCGCCCGACUGACGCUGAAGCACGAAAGCGUGGGUAUCGAACAGGAUUAGAUACCCGGGUAGUA